AUAAGUGGCUGAUUAGGACCACCAUGUGUAUGAGCAGACCCUAUAAAUGCAAAUGUUUUUUGGUCUUUUUAGCAUAGAGGAUGGUUUUGAAAAUCUGGGUUUCAAGGGUGUGGGGAUUUUGUUCUGUAUUUCUACAUACAUGGGAGUUUCUUUAUGCGUUUACUAUGCUUUUAUGUAUUUUGGGGGAUAUUACAGAGGGUGGUUAUGAAAGCUAUGGCUUUAGGUUGGGUUUCAAGUGUGUUUGGGUUUUAGUUUCUAAUUCCUGAACCACUGAAAAUAACCACUUGAAAUGAUCAGUUUAAACAAUGUUUCAUUCACUAUAAAUAAUAAUCUAUAUUAUUAUCAUUGACACGGUCUACGUCACGUAAUAGAUAUAUGAACUCACUGUUCCAUUGACUGAGAGCAUUGUUUCAUGGUAAUGGAAGGGGAAACUCACCUAUUCAGGUUGCGUUUUGAGUGGGUUGUUUUGUAACUGAUAAUAACUUCUUAUUAUUCAUGAAUUCAUGAAUGAAAAUCUCAAUUGGAUAUACAAUUGAAGGAUCUUUUGAUACAAGCCUGGAAAUACUCUUGAUGAAUGAAUAUAAUACAUCUCGCUUUCUGGACAAAUGAUUUGAAAAAUAGGAUAUGUUUAUUUUGUGUUUUGAUCAUCAAGGAUGUCUGUCUCCUGUUUGACCAGAAGGAUGAGAGGAUGGAGGGACAUGUUUAAAAAAAGAGAGAAUGUGCAACAACAUGAGGAGAAGACAAGCAGCCAGAGAAGACGUCAAGAAGAAGAAACCACACCAGAACAAACAAAUGAACUAAUGGAGCAGCCGGAGAGGCGGAACGAGAAGAGGAAAGCAAAGAAGCAUGUGGAGGCCUUUAAGACACAGCUAACAGCAGGCGGCUACUCAAAAACCCAAAGCUACUGGAGUUGAUAGAUAAAAGCACGGAAAACUAAAUUACUGCAUCUCACACCAUUUGGCUGCACUUGGAACUAAAGAUGGGAGAAUUUAGCUGUGAUCGUGAUUGUUGAGUGUAGAAUUCGUGUUGUGGGGUUGGAAAGCAGAGUUCCCUUGGUCCAGGCUGGAAUGGACGAAUAGAGCUCCAGGAAGAUGGCACAAAGCAGAAUACACAUUUCCAAUGGACCUUCUUCUUCUUCUUCCAUUUUGGUCAUCUUAAUCUAAUAGAGUGGGUGGGUCAUGCUUCUGCACACAAUGCCUCUUGCAUUCAUUACCCAUGAACUGUAGCCCAUUGCAUCAUUGCUCUCUUUUGAAUAAUAAAUAAACUUUAACUCUGGCCUAAUCAUGCCACAGGAAAUUAAAUACUUCCUACUUCCUGAUUAAUUGUAUUUACACAGACCGAAAGCGGUUAUUCUGCUGAGAGGAAAUUAGGCAGUAGGCAGUGGCAUGUUAGUUUGUGUGCUGUCGUGAAUCUGGAGCUCUAGAGCCCUGGGCCAGUUUACAUCAGAAUCCUUGAGGCUGCAGCUAGCGAAUCAGAACUAACCUAGGGGCUGUAGCAGCGAAUCAGAACUAACCUCA
rnacentral:lncRNA from 13 species